CCAAGACCUAGUAUGUCUGAGGGGAAAGAAUUGUGAGGAGAAAUUAAAACAGAUGUGAAAAUAAAUGUCUUUGAGAGGCCUCCUAACUUGAGCCAGGGGAGUUGGGGCAAUAAAAACCCCAUGGCGGUCAAGGACAGAGUGGGAACAGAGGGACCUGUGCUUCACAGGAGUGCCUGGCAUGGCACCAACAACGACUAUUGACCAGCAAUGAGGGGCCAAGGGAGUUUCUCCACAACGCCUACUCCCUGGCAAGGAAAAGAGAAAGCAGCCAGGUGUGCAUAACUGAGCAAGCAUUACAAGCUUGCAGAGCCCAGCGAAGCAGAGACUGUCAUCAAGAGAAUGCAAAUCCGUGGGCCUGCUGACUGGAGACCAGGGUGGGAUUCAGGACAUGAAUGGUAGAUGCCAGCCCACGACUGUGAGGACAAGAUGUGACAGCUUCUGGCUAAGUAGAUGCCAGUGGAGCGUGGAGGAUAGUGGUCUCUCCCUUGACCACUGUUAUUCUGAUGUUCCAUGAGAUGGGUGGCAUUUCCUUAGGAGAUACACGUCUUCCCAGGACUCGCCUUCGGUGGGAGGCACAAAUCUUCCCAGCCUGGAUCCCACCACAUUCAUCUGAGGCCUCUGUUCUAUACCUGGAACCCCCAGGGCUCAAGUGGGUCAGGAAGCAGGGAUCUCCAAGCUGCAUCCACGUUUAUAUCCUGUAUUGGUUCAACCUGCUCAACAAAGAUAGCUCUUAACAUUUCUAAGUGGCUUAAAAUAAAUCAAAAGAGGAUUAAUAGUUUGUAACACCUGAAAUGAUAUAAAAGUCAAAUCUCAGUGAUCAUAAAUAAAGUUUUAUUGGAAGACACCAGAACUCACUCAUUUACAUAUUGUCCGUGACUGCUUUUGCACUCUAACAGCGGAUUUGAGUCUCGGAGAUAGAGACCGUAAGACCCACAAAACUUAAACUGUUCACCACCCAGACUUUGACAGUAAACAUUUGUUGACCCUGGUCCAGCAUGAGCUGACACCCUGUCACCGCCAGCGGCAUGUAGUGAAAGCUACUGUUGCCCUCAGAAUGGGCUGGAAAGCAGAUGAAACAACUUCCACCGUCAGGCUGCCAGCUGCCAGAGAGGGCCGUGGCUGUCCCCUGUGUGUGAGGGGAUCAAUGCAUGGUCCCCCCGUGGUGAAUUUUCAAUAGCUCCAAGUUAAAAAUCUCCCUUCAGAACCAAACUGAUGUUUAUAAAUGCCUUUGGAAGAAAAAGUUACUGCUUUCUUAUAAUAGAUUAACUUUUCUUCAAAGCAGAAGAAGCUUGAACUGAUUAAUAACUUCCUAGCAGGAAGAUGAUCUCAAACCAGUUCUGGUUAAUUUUUAGAUGAAUCGAUUAGAACCACAAACUUGGGUCCUUAAAAUAUUAAGGACUGCCCCAAAUAAAAAAUGAUUAAUUCCUG